GUCCAGACUCCUACGGGAGGCAGCAGUGAGGAAUAUUGGUCAAUGGCCGGAAGGCUGAACCAGCCAAGCCGCGUGAGGGAGGAAGGCGCAGAGCGUCGCAGACCUCUUUUGCCGGGGGACAAAAGGCCGGACUCGUCCGGUCCUGAGGGUACCCGGAGAAAAAGCAUCGGCUAACUCCGUGCCAGCAGCCGCGGUAAUACGGAGGAUGCGAGCGUUAUCCGGAUUUAUUGGGUUUAAAGGGUGCGCAGGCGGCCUGUAAGGACGGGGGAAAACGCGGGGGGCAAACCCCCGGCGAGCCGUUGAAACUGGCGGGCUGGAGUUGGAGAGAAGUACGCGGAAUGCGCGGUGUAGCGGUGAAGUGCUUAGAUAUCGCGCAGAACCCCGAUUGCGAAGGCAGCGUACCGGCUCCACACUGACGCUGAGGCAUGAAAGCGUGGGUAUCGAACAGGAUUAGAUACCCCGGUA
rnacentral:rRNA from 1 species